UUACGGCCAUAACCCGCUGAACUCCGCUCCUCGUAUGAUCAUCGAAGUUAAGCAACGUCGAUCCUGGUCAGUACCUGGAUGGUUGACCGCUUGGGAAUACUAGGCAAUGUAA